rnacentral:rRNA from 1 species
AGUGAACGCUGGCGGUAGGCCUAACACAUGCAAGUCGAACGGACGCACAGUAAGCGCUUGCCCUUACGGGUGGCGAGUGACGGACGGGUGAGGAAUACAUCGGCAUCUACUUUUUCGUGGGGGAUAACGUAGGGAAACUUACGCUACUACCGCAUAUGACCUACGGGUGAAAGCAGGAGAUAUUGGGACCUUGGCCGAUAGUAUGAGCCGAUGUCGGAUUAGCUAGUUGGGGGGGUAAAGGCCCACCAAGGCGACGAUACGUAGCUGGUCUGAGAGGAUGAUCAGCCACACUGGAACUGAGACACGGUCCAGACUCCUACGGGAGGCAGCAGUAGGGAAUAUUGGACAAUGGGCGCAAGCCUGAUCCAGCCAUACCGCGUGAGUGAAGAAGGCCUUCGGGUUGUAAAGCCCUGUUGUUGGGAAAGAAAAGCAGCAGGUGAAUACCCCGCUGUUCUGACGGUACCCAAAGAAUAAGCACCGGCUAACUUCGUG